CUGUUGCUAGGCACCAGCUUUCUGCAUUUCAGACCCAUUUCUUUUGCCAGUGCAGCAAAGGAGAAUGAACUUGCACACUUCAACACACACAAAACAAACUACGGCCUUCACAUGCCUCAUACAAAUUGUCUGGAACAGAAAUGAACAAACAUAACAGGCUCUUGAUAUUUUAUCGUUCUCUAAAGUUUUGAUUCUUAUCAGCGAGAAGUGAACCGUUGAGAGUCAGUAGCUCAGGCUUUAUACAAAACAACUAAGCAAGUCUUUUCAUGCUCCAACAAAAUCUAAAGUGAGUGUGCCUCAGGCUCAGAUCUGAAAGCUUGAAUAGCAGAAGAACUUUUUUCACUCUAUUUUCUGGGGAGUGCAGUAUUAAACAACUUUUUCUUUCUUUCUUUUUCCUUGGACAUAACAGGACACAUGGACUGCUGGUAAGACGGCUCCAGUACUCAGCUAAUCUAUCUACACUGAGGCAACCAGCUGUUAGUUCUCCUGCUAUGUAUCAUCACGAUGAUAAAGCACAAUGUUUUGAGAUGAAGAUGAUGAUAAUGAUGGAGAGAUUCACCAGAGAGCAGAAGAGCAGAUGGGACAGUUUCUCUGAGAGCGCAAUCCUGCAACACCGGAUUUAAGAGGAGGUCACGUGAGACUCUGGACAUGAAGUUGGCUGCAUAGCUGAGCACAGGCAUGUAGCUGCCUGCCUGUCUGCCUGCCUGCCUGCCUGUCUGCCUGCCUGUCUGUCUGUCUACCCCCUUUUCACCUGCCAACUCUGUCUCUGACAGCCUGCUCUCCAAAAGUUACCAUAAGAAGGCAUUUGACUGAAGCUAAACUAUUAGCAAGAAGCACCUGUGAAGCAUCGUGGAGGAAAAAAUGGCACGUGCAGAAUCGGUUAAAAUUGUUUAAGACAUCAAUUGUCCAGUGGCCCAGCGGACUGUACGUCAGGUGACCUUAAGGUACUGAAUUCAAACCACAAAACACCAUGAAGACAUUAAAGUACAAAAACCAUGGUCACGUUCCUUCCAGCAGUGAUGUCUCAGUGUUCCAGGAGGAGGAACGACUCCGGCUGCGUUUUAAUAAAUAAAACUUGUCAAAGUGCCUCGCCCGUCUCCCGUCUCCAUAGAAACCCUGCUCUGAGCGUGCGCAUGCCGGGCGGCUGAGGUUGAGCGCAGAUGGAUCGGUCGUCUGUACUAACGGCUCUGCGGUGAAUUACCUCAGCGUACGCACGAGAGAGAGAGAGAUUUCUGACUGCAAUCAGGCCGGCGCUGCUGCACGGCGCUGCUGCACGGCGCUCAUU